CAUCGUUGUUUAUAGCAUUAACAUAUUGGGGUUGUAGUCGAAUUACGGAAAACGUGAAGGACUUGUAAAUAAUUAUUAGAAAGGAAGUAGGAGUAUAAAAGCUGUACUGUGAAAUCUCUAAAUUAAUUCUUCACACACUGCAGAGAGAGUUACGCACCGUCACAAUCUUCAGAUGUCAUUGCAUAUUGGAAACCUAUCAGCUGGCACUCGUAUAGAUGACCUUCAACGUGUUUUCCGGAAGUUUGGUAGGUGUACUGUAAGGGUGAAGGACAAGUAUGGGUUUGUAGUUUACGAUUAUCCUGCCGGUGCUGAAAAAGCUCUUAAAACACUUUGUGGGACAAGGAUUUGUGGUCAGGCCAUAACAAUAUCAUGGUCUAAACGGCAGCCUCAUAAAUCUCAAAGGCCCCCCACUGGGGAGAAGUUGAACGAGCAACCACAUAGAAAGUACUCAAUGAAAGAAUACGCUCAUCGAAGGUCGACCUCAUAUGGUCGACGAGAGAAAGAGUUGAACCCUCACAAAGCAGAUGUCGAACUUAGAACUGAUUCUUCCAACUUAAUCUAUGAAUCAACUAGGCACCGUCCAGAUGAUUCAAAGCCUUAUGUGAGAGAAAGCAGUCAUACUUCUCCGACUGUUCAUCAUGGGAUAGGAGAUGGUAGAAAGAACCAUGUGAAUGUUAGUAGGUGGGAUGAGCCGGCUAUAGACCCCUUAAGUGAAAUUUAUUUGGAAAAUAACUUGGACUUUGACCGUUAUGAGCCUCAUGACAGUGAUGGUAAAAAGGAAUUGGAUGAGCGAUCUGACAUAUCUCAUUUGGUGGGUUCAUCUUCUGUCAAGAAGGUCCAAGAUAGAAGAGGGCUUUCCUACAAUGAAAAAUCUCAAAAGAGUUGCUGUAUUUGUGGGGAGUUGGGCCACAAAAGGAGCAACUGCCCACUAGAGCCAAAGAGGCAUGUCUCUGAUUGUCAACCAAGGCCACAUCAGAGUGGUGACACUUUUCCCCUCAGUAGUCAGGACAGUGACAGGAAGCCAACAACUUCAAAAACCAAUCUGAAAUUGCUGAGGCGUGGAGAUUCUUCCACUCAGGAAAUUGCUCCUAGAGGUAGGGGGAAUGAGUUCAAAGAUAAAAAAAGAAAUUGGAGGGAUUACGAAAGUCAAGAUAAAAGUCAUUUUCAGAGAGCAAUAGGUCCAUCGUCAUCUUCAAUCCACUCUAAUGAUAAUUCAUCCAGAUCACAGUCACCUUCUAGAUCAUCUCAACCCUCAUCACGGUUCAAGUUGAAGUCAAUACAUCCAGAGAAAUUUUCCUUACCUUCUUCUUAUGGAUCUUCACCUUCACGCCAUUCUGGAUAUAAAACCUUAAAGUCACCACGGUCUAAAGCUGGGUCAAUGUCGCCUACCUCUUCAUUAUUACCUAAAGAAGUCAAUCAUAGUGUAUCUCCCUCUCCAAAUAAAGCUCAGGGAAAUUCCAAGGGCUCUUUGGCAAAUGUUGUUGCCUUUCAACAAUGUGCGGAUUUAUUCGAAGAGGAAACACAGUUGGUGAUGCCAAAGGAUUCAUCUGGAAAGGAUAAUAAUCUUUGGCAUUCUUCUUCCAAGGGCUCACUUGAGUCAUAUGUACCACUUUCAGAUGGUGAUGGGCAUAUUGUUGAUAAUCUAUCUCUGCACUUGAUGAAAGGGAUAAGAGAUUCACAACUUGAGCGACAUGUAGCUGCAACAGAAUGUAACAAUCAAUCAAUUUUGAAUGCUUCCAGAGAAGCGAGAAUGUCGUUAGAGGAAGUACACAUGGUUAUGAAACAUUAUGGCUUGCAACUCCCAGAGGAAAAUGAAAAGGACUUACCUGUUGAAGUUUAUUUUGGUUCCGCCCGCUUUUGGCCUUGGGAGAUGAUUUACUAUAGGAGAUUAAAGAAGGGUCCUAUAUCAGCUGAGAACUAUUCAAGGAGAAGUGCUCAGAAUGCUGAGUAUGGAAUUGUUGACAGACAUGUUAGAGGCAGCAGUGGAUGGGGAGAACUUCAUGAAAAUUCUUGAGUACCUUUUUCUGUGGCACUGGCAGGUACAGUAUAUCUCUUCUCGCCUUGUUCUUAAGCGUGUUGCUGAAAUUCAUUUAGAAACCUGGCGUCAUCUUUCAUCAUGCUGUCAUGGGAUAUGACAUGACACACAAGACUUGUAGGUUUCUCCUGGUUAUAAUUGCUAUCAAAAAGUCCCUGGAAUAUUUUGAAAAAAGAGGCAAAUAUUUGCAACAACCAAUCAUCAAGAAGACACUCAUCAAUAUAUAGCGUAUUAGCGUUUGGAGCACUGACCAGAGAGUGAGGCUUCUGUUGGCACAUCAAAUGGCUGCCAGAGCAGAUGUCUUGAGGGCUUGAAGGUCUAUCAAAGACAUUUCUUAUCACCCAACCCAUAUUCUAUGUACCCAAAGCCGCUCCCCUGCAGUCAGGCAUGGCUAUUGGGAUGCAAACCAUUGCUAUCCUUGGUGUAAGGCAAUGAAAGGAAAUUCCGUGGCUGAAGCAGAAGAACAUCUGAACAUGUAUUUGUGGUGCAGUCACAGUAGGUAAUGUGCUUUGGCGGGGAAGCUUUUCUCAUCUCUAGCUUUACUCCUUUCAGUAUAAAGUGGCGGUGUCAUGGAGGAAGUCGAGCAGCACAGUGCUCUUGCACUGGGGGCACCUCGGAUCCUCCUCCGACAGCAUCACAUACAUGAGGCAACGGGGGCAUCCCACCAGCAUCAUCGAGUUCUCCUCAUGGCCCUCCAAGUAGCGGAACUGAUCCUCCUGGUGGUUCGCCUCCGACGAGACACAUGAGCUCGUUGGCGAAACAGACGGUGAGCGCCUCCUCGGAGACUCCUCACUAACGCGGCGCCCAGCCCUCGGCGGGGACAAGUUCAACUUGAGAUCAAGCUUCGCACCGUUCCUUCGGCUCAUCGUUUCAAGGGAAAAUGCAUGUACUGGUUGGUAGCUGGAUAUACUUAUCCAACGUGUUAUCUCCGGGCUUAUUAUCUACGUGGCGAAGGACGUUUGAGGUGUAAUUUAAACCUGAUAAAAAAAUGCUUACUUGGCAAAACGAAUUGGCCAACAUAGAAAUAUACCCAAAUCCAAGUGGGAAAUGCCCAACACUAAAAUUCAUGAUUUUUACGGUCAAGUUUUAUGAUUGAGCCAAAAAUAAAAAAUUUAGCCAAAGCUUGUGAUACUAGCAAAAACAUCGAAAUACCAAAAAAAUAUUUAAAUAUCAAAUCUUUUGGCAUAUCGUGAUUUUUGGUGUGGCGUGACAUAUUACUAAAAGAUUAGGUGUUUUUGUGUUUUGAUUAGUUUGCCAAGUAAGCAUUUUUUUAUUUGGUUCAAUUGCAGCUCUAGCAUCCAUUGCCACGUAGAUAAUUAAUACUCAGUAUUCAAUUUUAAUUGUCAAAAAAUAUUUGAUCAGUUAUUUAAGUUGUACAUGUUCCUUGAGUGA